UAUGUUUUUGUCUCACGGCUGAGAUGGCUUCCAAAAUCUGCCGUCUUGUUUCCAAACCAGGCCGAUUUUUUUGCCACGUCCCACCUAUAAUCCCUCGUCAAUUAUCCCGCAUUAAUCUUGCCUUUCCCAAACCCACCCGGCCACUUUGCCAUCUCGCCUGCUCCUGAAUCGUCUCCAACUUCGAUCUCGUCACUACCUUGCCGUUUUGCAUGUAAAUCCGCCAUGAACCUGCCAUACCCUACGCCGGUGAGAUUCACCACGCUGGUGUGCCGUCCCAUCUGGUAGUUUAACUCGGCAUUAUAUCCACCUCGACCACGGGCGAGCGCCCACACCCCUGGAUGGUGGUCUACAUGAUGUUCGGGCCGCUAGUUCUUCAGUCCAUCGCGGCGGAUCAUCGUCUCAGUUGCGGAACGAAGCUAGCACGUGCACGUGGGGAGGAUGGCAGGAUUCGCCCCCUUCUCCGUCGGCAGCGUCACUCGUGUGACCUAGAUUCCCAAUGAUGAUGUAGUGCACUGAGUUCGAGAUCAACCAGACACAGAUCCGAGUUGUUAGUUUUACAACAAAUGAAGUAGAGCUCAUGGCACACACUGAUCUUGUCACUAUCAGAUGUCCAGUGCUCACCCCUAUGUCGGCUACGAUGAAAUGAAAGUAGUAUUGUAAUAGUAUUUUUCUUUUUGUAAAAUAGAUUUGUAAAUUUAUGUUCACAAAGGAUUAAUAUAUUUGAAUGAUUCAUCAUUCAUGUUGCGCUUCA